UCCUGGAUUCAGCGGCGGACGGGUGAGUAAUGCCUAGGAAUCUGCCUGGUAGUGGGGGAUAACGUCCGGAAACGGGCGCUAAUACCGCAUACGUCCUGAGGGAGAAAGUGGGGGAUCUUCGGACCUCACGCUAUCAGAUGAGCCUAGGUCGGAUUAGCUAGUUGGUGGGGUAAAGGCCUACCAAGGCGACGAUCCGUAACUGGUCUGAGAGGAUGAUCAGUCACACUGGAACUGAGACACGGUCCAGACUCCUACGGGAGGCAGCAGUGGGGAAUAUUGGACAAUGGGCGAAAGCCUGAUCCAGCCAUGCCGCGUGUGUGAAGAAGGUCUUCGGAUUGUAAAGCACUUUAAGUUGGGAGGAAGGGCAGUAAGUUAAUACCUUGCUGUUUUGACGUUACCAACAGAAUAAGCACCGGCUAACUUCGUGCCAGCAGCCGCGGUAAUACGAAGGGUGCAAGCGUUAAUCGGAAUUACUGGGCGUAAAGCGCGCGUAGGUGGUUCAGCAAGUUGGAUGUGAAAUCCCCGGGCUCAACCUGGGAACUGCAUCCAAAACUACUGAGCUAGAGUACGGUAGAGGGUGGUGGAAUUUCCUGUGUAGCGGUGAAGUGCGUAGAUAUAGGAAGGAACACCAGUGGCGAAGGCGACCACCUGGACUGAUACUGACACUGAGGUGCGAAAGCGUGGGGAGCAAACAG
rnacentral:rRNA from 1 species